GAUGAACGCUGGCGGCGUGCCUAAUACAUGCAAGUCGAGCGAAUGGAUUGAGAGCUUGCUCUUAUGAAGUUAGCGGCGGACGGGUGAGUAACACGUGGGUAACCUGCCCAUAAGACUGGGAUAACUCCGGGAAACCGGGGCUAAUACCGGAUAACAUUUUGAACCGCAGGGUUCGAAAUGGAAAGGCGGCUUCGGCUGUCACUUAUGGAUGGACCCGCGUGGCAUUAGCUAGUUGGUGAGGUAACGGCCCACCAAGGCAACGAUGCGUAGCCGACCUGAGAGGGUGAUCGGCCACACUGGGACUGAGACACGGCCCAGACUCCUACGGGAGGCAGCAGUAGGGAAUCUUCCGCAAUGGACGAAAGUCUGACGGAGCAACGCCGCGUGAGUGAUGAAGGCUUUCGGGUCGUAAAACUCUGUUGUUAGGGAAGAACAAGUGCUAGUUGAAUAAGCUGGCACCUUGACGGUACCUAACCAGAAAGCCACGGCUAACUACGUGCCAGCCGCCGCCGUAA
rnacentral:rRNA from 1 species